rfam:Gossypium raimondii Chr01_contig_530, whole genome shotgun sequence.
CACGUUAGCGCGCUUUGCUGACGUGGCAACAAAUCGCGUCCACGAGGGGGCGAUUUGUCAUCGCGUCAGCAAAGCGCGCUGAUGUGG